UACAGAGGUGGCAAGCGUUGUUCGGAAUUACUGGGCGUAAAGGGCGCGUAGGCGGCCUUCUAAGUCAGACGUGAAAUCCCCAGGCUUAACUUGGGAACUGCGUCUGAUACUGGGAGGCUUGAGUGCGGGAGAGGGAUGUGGAAUUCCAGGUGUAGCGGUGAAAUGCGUAGAUAUCUGGAGGAACACCGGUGGCGAAGGCGGCAGCCUGGACCGACACUGACGCUGAGGCGCGAAAGCUAGGGGAGCAAACGGG
rnacentral:rRNA from 1 species